UUUUUUUUGUUUCUCUCUCUUUCUCUUUUUAUCUUUCGCGAAAGAAGAGAUGUCGAUUCCGAUUGAAUCGAUACCUCUGAUUCCGGCUGAAUCCGGCUGAAUCCGGCAGACAACAACAAUGGCUUUCUCCCCUAAUCCUCUCUCUCUGAGCGCCUCCGAUCCUGCUUUCGAGCCUUGGCUCCGAGACUCCGGCUGCCUUGAGCUCCUCGAUCACCGCACAUCCGCCGCCGCUUCCUCCUCAAACGAUUCGCGAGGAACUACGCUGUGCUCCGCAUCGUCUUCUUCGCUUGUGCACUCAAGCUUAGCACUUUGGGAGUUGUUCAAGUUCUGCAGUGAUAUAUGGAAAUUUGAUCAUCACCCUUCCAUGAGGAAAUUCUCAAUCGGUAUUGGACAAUGUGGUGAGUUUAUUAUGAUUCAUUUUGUUCCUGAUUUUAAUUGCAGCUAUAUAUAUUGGACUACUUUUUUCAUGAAGAAUACAUGACCUCUACAUGGGAUAUAAUUGCAGAGAGACUAGGCUUCAUCUUAGUCUUUGGAGAUCUCUUGUGGAGUCCUUUCACUUUUAGCAUUCAUGCAUGUAACUGUGAGCCUGAACACAAACAAAACAUAAAUUUUCUUAUUGACAGGGCUGGUGGCUGUUGCACAACAACAAAGUAGAACUAACAGUUCCUAAAGUUACUGGCUUCAGGAUAUUUGUAUCAUCUCUUUAUCGUUCUCUUGUUUCUUUGUUUGAUUUCGCCUUCUGUCUUUGAUUGUUCAUCAUGUUGUGAAAGUUCCGCAAACAAAACGUUUCCGAUAACAUAGGUGCUUUUUUUUUUAUAUUACAGGGGAAUUGAAGGGCACUGUAAUUACCUUGGCUACUUGAUGCUCGCUCUCUCCUUCAGUUUGCCCUGUGGAAUAAGUUCUCCAGUGCCAUAUUUCUACCCAAUAUAUCUUCUGAUAUUGUUGAUAUGGAGAGAACGAAGAGACGAGGUUAGAUGUGCAGAGAAGUACAAAGAGAUCUGGGCAGAGUAUCUUAGACUUGUCCCCUGGAGAAUAGUUAUGUUUGUUAUAGAUGUGCCAAGUCACGAAGACUUUCAGAUUCAUGUUCUUGUGUCUUAUUUUUUCAUCAUCUUGUUUUCAAUUUGACAUGAGAAGAUCCCAUUAUGGCCUUUUAGCAAUGCUUGAUCCCAUCACGAAUACUUUAAAGUGUACACGUUUGAGAAUUCUACUUCAGUUUUGGAUUUUGCUAUGCGAUUCA